rnacentral:rRNA from 1 species
CAAAAUCUCAACUUUAUUAGAAGAGACGCAUUUAUUAGAUAAAAAGCCAAUGCAUGCUUUUACAGUAUGAAAAUUGGUGAUUUAUAAUAACUUAGCAAAUCGCAAAGUGAAAACAGGCGAUAAAUCAUUCAAGUUUCUGACCUAUCAGCUUUCGACGGUAUGGUAUUGGCUUACCGUGGCAGUGACGGUUAACGGGGGAUUAGGGUUCGAUUCCGGAGAGGGAGCCUGAGAAACGGCUACCACAUCUAAGGAAGGCAGCAGGCGCGCAAAUUACCCAAUUCUAACAGUUUGAGAGAGGUAGUAACAAGAAAUAACAAUACAAGGCAGUUAAAAUGCUUUGUAAUUGGAAUGAUAGAAAUUUAAACCCUUUUUAAAGUAUCAAUUGGAGGGCAAGUCUGGUGCCAGCAGCCGCGGUAAUUCCAGCUCCAAUAGCGUAUAUUAAAAUUGUUGCAGUUAAAAAGCUCGUAGUUGAAGUUCUGCUAAAAGUAACCGGUCUGCUUUUAAUAAAGGUGGUAUCUUGGUGUGUAUUUAGCAAUGAUGUCCUUUGAAGUGUUUUUUACUUUAUUGUAAUAAAGCAUAUUCAGGACUUUUACUUUGAGAAAAUUAGAGUGUUUCUAGCAGGCUAACGCUUUGAAUACUGCAGCAUG